rnacentral:rRNA from 1 species
GGGGGAAUAUUGCACAAUGGGCGCAAGCCUGAUGCAGCCAUGCCGCGUGUAUGAAGAAGGCCUUCGGGUUGUAAAGUACUUUCAGCGGGGAGGAAGGCGUUGAGGUUAAUAACCUCAGCGAUUGACGUUACCCGCAGAAGAAGCACCGGCUAAAUACGUGCCAC